GGCAGAGAUAGCAUUUCCGGGCGCCUUUUCCAUCCUUCUUUCCCCCUCACUGGGCUUUGAAACUGCGCGCGCGCGCUGUUCCGAUUUCCAUCGGCUCUGCCGGCGGGACAGUUGGCUCUGGAAUGUCUGGAAUGCGGAACUCCUUCCAACGUUCCCCUUUCCCUUCCCGCCUCUCCAAUGCUCUCGCCUCCUGGCGCGCUCCUAUGGCCAGCGCUGAUUUGGUCAGCUGGUCCAUAGACUCCGCCCUGGGCGCCCGGGAAAGUUCAUCUUUCACAGCCGAAGAAAGCCCUUCUUCAAAGAGCAUUUGAAUGGGUUCCGCCGAUAAGUCCCACCCCAAUCUGUGUAUCAGCAUGGUGAACUCAGUCCAGUACUCACGUACAGAUCGGCUCCCCUGUUUGCAAGCCAUUAACUGUCUGCGCACCACUCCCUUUUCAAUAUCGCUGGAAAACAUCAGAUCCAUGGCGCGAAAGAACUUCAUCGUGUCUUUUAAGACGUCACUAUUCGCUGCCAUCAGGGUCUAACCCAGUCUCUCGCCCCCUUUUCAAGAUGCCCAAUCACAAAAGCCACUCGUGAUUCCUCAUCAGGGAAUCAUCAAACUGCAGAUUGAGGGCAUAUUGCAUUUCUGUCCGAAAGCUAUGAUAGUCUUUGGGCUCCCCCCCAAAUUUUUGCACCAAUCCUGGUACCUUUCUGGCGAGCUGGGUGGCUUUCUCCCUUUGUCUGCAUCUUGAGCCCUCCUCUCCUCCAGCCUCGCCGUCUGCAGCGCCAGCUGGACCUCCAACACUCGGUACCUUUCUUCCAGGCUUGGACCCGCUCCAGCCCCUGCUUCUCCGGUUCCUGCUGGGUUGCUCAUUAUUAUGCCGUCUCCUGCACAAGCUGCGUUCAAAGACUGUCGGAAUGCUGUGAUGGGAUUAUGAGCUGCUUGUGCGUAAAAUCGUAUUCCCUCAGAGUUUGUUCAAGUCCACAAACCUCUGUCUGUGACUGAGCCCCUCUGACAUGGCUCCUCUUAGUCACUAGAAGAUUCCGACAGUGGUUGCUUUCGUGAUCGCUUCCAACAUAAAAGCUCCUUAACGGAAACACGUCUUCUGGACUCUCUGCGUGACAGUUUCCGGCGAGGAGUGGGUGUCGCUACAGGAGGUCCGGAAACCUCACCACUGUUUUCGCUGGAAGUAUCUCUGAGCCAUCCCCCCAGCUCCCUUUCCCUCAGUUCAGCUUCUCUCCCCCUGCUGGUUUCCUCUUCAGCUGCUAAGUCUCUUCCAACCUGUCUGAGCCCUUUCACCUCCCUCAGUUCAGCUUCUCUCCCCCUGCUGGUUUCCUCUUCAGCUGCUAAGUCUCUUCCAACCUGUCUGAGUCCUUUCACCUCCCUUCCUACCGAUGGCAGUUCCCUGACAG